rnacentral:rRNA from 1 species
UCAGGACGAACGCUGGCGGCGUGCUUAACACAUGCAAGUCGAACGGUAAGGCUCCAGCUUGCUGGGGUACACGAGUGGCGAACGGGUGAGUAACACGUGGGUGACCUGCCCUGCACUUCGGGAUAAGCCUGGGAAACUGGGUCUAAUACCGGAUAGGACCGCACCGUGAGGGUGUGGUGGAAAGUUUUUUCGGUGUGGGAUGGGCCCGCGGCCUAUCAGCUUGUUGGUGGGGUAAUGGCCUACCAAGGCGGCGACGGGUAGCCGGCCUGAGAGGGUGGACGGCCACAUUGGGACUGAGACACGGCCCAGACUCCUACGGGAGGCAGCAGUGGGGAAUAUUGCACAAUGGGCGGAAGCCUGAUGCAGCGACGCCGCGUGGGGGAUGACGGCCUUCGGGUUGUAAACUCCUUUCACCAUCGACGAAGGGUUUCUGACGGUAGAUGGAGAAGAAGCACCGGCUAACUACGUGCCAGCAGCCGCGGUAAUACGUAGGGUGCGAGCGUUGUCCGGAAUUACUGGGCGUAAAGAGCUCGUAGGUGGUUUGUCGCGUCGUCUGUGAAAUUCCGGGGCUUAACUCCGGGCGUGCAGGCGAUACGGGCAUAACUUGAGUACUGUAGGGGAGACUGGAAUUCCUGGUGUAGCGGUGAAAUGCGCAGAUAUCAGGAGGAACACCGGUGGCGAAGGCGGGUCUCUGGGCAGUAACUGACGCUGAGGAGCGAAAGCAUGGGGAGCGAACAGGAUUAGAUACCCUGGUAGUCCAUGCCGUAAACGGUGGGCGCUAGGUGUGGGUUUCCUUCCACGGGAUCCGUGCCGUAGCUAACGCAUAAGC